rnacentral:rRNA from 1 species
GACGAACGCUGGCGGCGGGCUUAACACAUGCAAGUCGAACGAGGUCCAUCUUGUAGCAAUACAAGUGAAGACCUAGUGGCGAACGGGUGAGGAACACGUGAGAAAUUUGCCCCGAACUUUGGGAUAACAGUUGGAAACGACUGCUAAUACCGAAUGCCGUUACGAAGUGGCAUCACUUUGUAACGAAAGAAUUUCGGUUCGGGAGAAUCUCGCGGCCUACCAGCUUGUUGGUGAAGUAACGGCUCACCAAGGCUACGACGGGUAGCUGGUCUGAGAGGAUGAUCAGCCACACUGGGACUGAGACACGGCCCAGACUCCUACGGGAGGCAGCAGUGGGGAAUCUUGUGCAAUGGACGAAAGUCUGUCACAGCCACGCCGCGUGCGGGAAGAAGGCCUUCGGGUUGUAAACCGCUUUCAGCAGGAACGAAAAUGACGGUACCUGCAGAAGAAGGAGCGGCCAACUACGUGCC